GGUGAACGCUGGCGGCGUGCUUAAGACAUGCAAGUCGAACGAUCGUCUCCGGACGCUAUGGUCCCACGGGUGAGUAACGCGUAACUGAGCUGCCCCCAAGCUCCGAGUAACCCUCCGAAAGGGGGGCCAAUACGGGAUGUGCCGUCGCCUCCGGUGCGGCCGGUAAAGUCUUGACCGCUUGGGGAUGGGGUUGCGUUCCAUCAGGUAGAUGGUGGGGGAAGGGCCUACCAUUGCUAAGACGGAUAACCGGCCUGAGAGGGUGGCCGGUCACAGGCGCACUGAGAGACGGGGACACACCGUCCGGGAGGCAGCAGUUAGGAGUCUUGGGCAAUGGACGACAGUGUGAGGGAGCGAGGCGGAGUGAGGGAGGAAGGUUGUAGGAUGGUAACGCUCUGAAUAAGGCACGACCGACGCGGAAGGGGGAUGAGGGUACCGGAGUAAUAGCACCGGCUAACUCCGUG
rnacentral:rRNA from 1 species